CAGAGUUGCAAAACUCCCAACCAUUGUGGACCUACCUCACCGUUGCUUCGGCGGGUGGCCCGCUAACGCGGCGCCGCGCCGGCGUCCCCUUCGGGGGGCCCGGCAACCCGUCAGAAGACCGAAACUCUUAGUCAUCUUGGCCUCUCUGAGUAACUUAUACAAUAAGUCA
rnacentral:misc_RNA from 1 species